rnacentral:misc_RNA from 1 species
GGUACAUGCAUUUAUUCAUAUUUCGUGAAGUCAAGUGAUCCACUAUUCCACUUGAUCCAUAUUACUAGUUUUGGUCUUCCACUUGCCAUGGCUAAACCAGUCGGGAAUACCACUAGUCGACCGCUAUUUCCACAACUCAAAUUAUUAUAUCACAAUCUAUUUAUUUUACAAACAUCAAAGUGAUGAACUAAGAUAAACUCAAAUUUUUAUAUCACUCGUUGUAUGUAUAUCAACGAGUGAUAAACUGAAGUUAAUCAGACAAUAUGGUUUCAUUCUCGUCAUCCUGGUUUCUCUUCUG